UAAAGGAGCAGAUAUAAACCAGUGGGACUCAGAACUGGUGAACAGUCAAAGCUCAGAGACUCCAUUCUUCCAACUUUGAAGAACCCCUCAAGAUUGAAAAAUGAAGAUGAAGAUUUUGUUCAUGACUCUAGUUCUUGCCUUGAUGCUGAUGAAUGGUUCUACUUUGACAUGUUACAACUGUCCCCCGACUAGAGUGGGCAAAUGUACCCGCACUAUUAUGGAGUGCCCUACUGCGAAUCAUGUGUGUUUCAGUGGAGAACGUCUAUGGUCUAUAACUUGGAAAUUCAAAUAUAUGCAUUGCAUGAUUUUGUCAGAGUGUUUGAAGUUACAUCACCGGAUAGAUCACCGAAACGUCAAGUGCUGUACAACAGACUUAUGCAAUUGAAAUGGUGCUGAACCACAAGCAUAACCCUAAAGCAUACAUGAUGUAAAAUCUGAAACUGAAGAAAGAUCCUUAAUAAAAGUCUUUUCUCAGCA